UACGAAGGGGGCUAGCGUUGUUCGGAAUUACUGGGCGUAAAGGGCGCGUAGGCGGCCUUCUAAGUCAGACGUGAAAUCCCCAGGCUUAACUUGGGAACUGCGUCUGAUACUGGAGGGCUCGAGUCCGGGAGAGGGUAGUGGAAUUCCCAGUGUAGCGGUGAAAUGCGUAGAUAUUGGGAGGAACACCGGUGGCGAAGGCGGCUACCUGGACCGGUACUGACGCUGAGGCGCGAAAGCCAGGGGAGCAAACGGG
rnacentral:rRNA from 1 species